rnacentral:piRNA from 1 species
UGUACACAUUGGUUGUUUACCCAAACUUAUG